CGAAGGAUGCAAGCGUUAUCCGGAUUUAUUGGGUUUAAAGGGUGCGUAGGCGGGCUUAUAAGUCAGUGGUGAAAGCUUCCGGCUUAACCGGGAAAUUGCCAUUGAUACUGUAAGUCUUGAGUAUGGUUGAAGUGGGCGGAAUGUGCAGUGUAGCGGUGAAAUGCUUAGAUAUUGCACAGAACACCGAUUGCGAAGGCAGCUCGCUAAGCCAUAACUGACGCUGAGGCACGAAAGCAUGGGGAUCAAACAGGAUUAGAUACCCUGGUAGUCCAUGCCCUAAACGUUGAAUACUCGAUGUGUGCGAUAUACUGUACGCGUCUAAGCGAAAGCAUUAAGUAUUCCACCUGGGGAGUACGCUCGCAAGGGUG
rnacentral:rRNA from 1 species